GCCGUUCCCUCAAGACACAGCUGAAUGCAUCUGCCCCUGGGAAGCCCUUUGACCUUCGCCAGCUCCCCGGUGCAGGGACCCACUCCCUACUAGAACUUCCAGCACUCGACUAGCUUUCAUCUCUUUACAUUCAGGGCCCAAAGCAGAUGUUACCAGACCCCCAGAGGACAAUCUAAGGAGGUUUUUGUGAUUGGAAGCUUCAUCUGUGUAAGUUAGAGGAAUGCUCUUACAGAUGAGGCAGAAGCUAAUAUUCCAUUGCUCGGAAAAGCUGAAGCCAAGAUGGUUGAAGCACAUCGUCCCGUGGUACCACUGGCACAUGGCAGAGCUGGAUUUUGUCUAACUCCAGAGCCAAGCUCUUUCCACCAGGUUGUGUUGCCUCCCAUACCAACAAGGACAUUGAAACAAACCAGUCUCAACUAACAAGAUGGGGUAUCGACACAUGGAUCCUAAGAACAGGCAACUGGUCUACAAGUUACCACCUCCCAGAAAUUCCUUGUCUUCUCUGGGCCUCCAUGUCCUCAUUGGUUAAGCGAGGUACCAGGAUGAGAGGACAGCUGAGACCUCCAGAUUGGGACUGCAUGUCAGCUUUGUGAGAUUUGAAGUUGAAUAUAACAAGAAUGAAGUACUUCCUUGAACUCAGACAGGACCAACCACCUAGGGGCCUCCAGUCAAGCUCCGCUAACAUUCCACCUGCCUGGCUGAUCAGGACCUGCCCCAGCAAUGAGCCACAGGUCAGUUCGAGAAAAGCCCAAGGUCAGUGGGAGACAGUUUGUCAGCCCAGGAAAGGUGUUGUGUUAUGUGGUUGUGAAAUAUGGCCUCCGCCCUCGAGUAUGUUUCACGAUGUCAGGGUGGCAUUUUUUGCAAGAUACUUUUGUAUCUUGGAAACAAUAAAUAGAAUCCAACUCAAACAACAUAUUACGAGUUACCUAACCAUGGAGUGAAAAUAAGGAGAAUCAAAAGGACUUAUUCCCUACAUCCUGGAAAAGGUCACAAUCUCAAAAAAAAGGCGUAAGACAAGUUACUAGAGGAAUAUAACAGCAACCCAGGAUAUAAUGCUGUGUCAUUUCUGAGGAGGAAGAAGUAACGUUCUCUCUGAAGACUGAUUCUUACAGCAGCAGGUGGGAAAGAAGCAUCACAAGUCACUGGAGCAAUGUGGUAUUAUCCACACUCUUUAUGGUGGCAUGAACACUAUGAGCACUGAGGGGGAGAAAACAGUAUUGGCCUCCCUCUUCGGACGUACAAAAUAAAUUAGAACUGGAAAAACAAACGAAUUAAGUAUUUAAAAAGAAAACCACAGAAAAAUGGCAAGAUAAUAAUAGAAAGAAGUGAUCUGAAACCUCAAGAGUGCAUGGCAAAUGCCCAGUCAACCCAUUAGAGGAAUGGGUUCCUCAUCACUCCAUUUUGCAGACGAGGAUACUGACACCAAACAGCAAAGGAACUCACCAAAGGGACAAGAGAAUUCACGGCGGAGCUGGAGCCAAAUUCAUGGGGCUCCUGGCUCAUGGGCGGGACUUUUCCACCUGUUAUCAGCUGCAGAACCGCAUGAGGAGGAGUUAAAUGUGCUGCCCUGAAAGAUGACACCUUGGGACUUUGUUAGCUCAUCUGUGAGUAUGAAUACCUAGCGGAAAACAAGAAUGAUGCUCAGGCAGGCACCCGGAUAUUGGGAGUAGUAAGAUCAUCAUGAAGGAGAAAAAGGGCAAAAGAAGACCAGGACAAGCCUGAACUGGGCUACAUGGACCUUGUCUUUCACCUUGAACGUGUACAACAUAAGGGACCAAUCUCUGAUCUGGGAUUCUAACAUUUUCUCUGUUGGACUUACUGUGCAGCUCAGGAGGGGAGAAUCAUCAUUUACCACCUGUAGGUAUUAACUGUAAAAUGGAUGCACCAAGAGGAUAAUUUUGCUUCCCCAGAUAUUUAACUGCUGAACUUGGCAGUGCCAUAAUCGUGUUAGGUAGGCAGAAUGGCACAUGCCUCUCCAACCCUCCACAGCCCCCUUCUCUACCUGGUACUUUCUUCCCCAAACUCUUCUUCGUUAAUAUUCAAAGUGCAUAUCUUUAUGUGAAUGUUUAAUAAACAAUUUCAGAAGCAGAUACCGUAUUUAAUGCCAUUGGAUAAGUUUGGCAAUAGGACCUUUCUUUUGGCAUUGUGGCUUCGUUGAAAUGAAUGAAUAGUGACAAAGUGUGACUGUGUAAUAUAACCAGGGAAUUUAGUAUGGAAUUGUAUACUUUUUUUUCCCAAAGGCAAUGUGUGUCUCUUUUGAGUUUAAAAUUGACUUUAAAUUUCCAGUUACUGAAAGUUUUGCUGAGAGGCUAGGGUGAUACAGACAUCAUGCAAAAUAAGUGUAAUAAAAAAAUGGGCGAUUGGCUAGUUACUUGAUCAAUUCACCGAUGUCCCUUAUUUGGAGUACUUUGACGUGAAUUCACGGAUUCUGGAGCGGAAGAAGAUGGAACUAUUGUAUUGUUAAUACAUCUACACGUUUAUUUAUGCAUGAGCUUGUUUUAACUGAGUACCUACUUUGUGUGUUGUGUGGUUCAGAGCUCUGGAGUUGCAGUGCUGAGUAAGAGGGAUUUUUCCCUGCAGGGACUUACAGAAGAGCAGAUGGUAGACAGUGAUACAGGCUGAUGCAGACACAUAGGCAAAGUGGAAGAGAGCAGUCCCAGAUAGCUGGGUCUCCUGGAAGGCUUCCCAAAGGAGACGG